UAACACGUAAAGAACCUACCUUAUAGACAGGGACAACUAUUGGAAACGAUAGCUAAUACCUGAUAAGAAAGAAACUCGCAUGAGAGAAGUUCGAAAGUCGGAGCAAUCUGACACUAUAAGAUGGCUUUGCGGUGCAUUAGCUAGUUGGUAGGGUAAAAGCCUACCAAGGCGACGAUGCAUAGCCGACCUGAGAGGGUGAUCGGCCACAUUGGGACUGAGACACGGCCCAGACUCCUACGGGAGGCAGCAGCG
rnacentral:rRNA from 1 species